UUACCCAUUCAACAAGAUGUUGGGGUUUGAGUAGAUCAAGAGCUGACUCCAGGGCAUGCCUCCCGAGGUCAUGUUGCCAGUGAGUGAGGAAUGGCCUUUGCUGAACCAGUCAAUCAAUUCUCCCAACUUUGCAUUCAGUUUGAAUUACAGAAAAGAUCAUUUGAGCUGCUGCAUAAAAGAUGGAUUAUAGCAAGAAUAGAAGCUCAUGGCAGACUAUUGAGAAAUCAACCAUGUUGGGAACUUGACAUGACGAGUAACUCAAGUCAACAGCCAUAAUGAAACUGAAGCCCACGUUAUAACCACAAGAGACUGAAUUCUUCCAAUAACUGAAUGAACCUGGAAACUGAUGUUUCCCCAGUCAAGGCCUCAGAUAGGACUGUGUGUAACUUUGGCCAACACCUUGACUGCAACUUCAUGAGGCCUUAAACAGAAGACUCAGCUAAGCCAUGCCCAGACUAUUGAUGCACAGGAUAUUGUGGAGCACAUUGGACUGCUGACUUGUUAUCCAGUUGGAAGCACUGGUGGUGUCUUGUGGUAGUCCUGAUGCAGUUAUUAUUGCUUGUCUACCUGAAUGAAAACUUGCUGAAUGAGUUGUCAGCAAUUUGGAAUAAAAUUUGAGAGACAGUAUUGCAUCACCAGCACUCUUAAUGGCAUAGAUGAUAGUACUGGGGGGACAUGAUCAUCCAUAAUUUCAGGUGAAAUAUUUUGACAGUUUGAACUUGGAGUGUGAGUAAGCUUUAGAAAUACCUUAACCAACUCGUUUUGCUUAUAUUUUAUAUUUGCAUAUAUUUUUACAUAAGCCCGAAAAUGACAUAAGGUAAAAACUAUACCUCAAUAAAUAACCCUUUGAAUAAGAAUGUAGUGAAAGAUCUGAGUUUUAGGAAAUAUUGUGUCAUAACUUGCAGAGCAGUGUUUUUCCCU